rnacentral:rRNA from 1 species
AUUGAACGCUGGCGGCAGGCUUAACACAUGCAAGUAGAACGAGUGGCGGACGGGUGAGUAAUGCUUGGGAAUCUGGCUUAUGGAGGGGGAUAAAUACGGGUAACUGUAGCAAAUAACGAGUACCAUGGGCUGAGCCCAAGUGGGAUUAGGUAGUUGGUGUGGUAAAGGCUCACCAAGCCGACGAUCUCUAGCUGGUCUGAGAGGAUGACCAGCCACACUGGGACUGAGACACGGCCCAGACUCCUACGGGAGGCAGCAGUGGGGAAUAUUGCGCAAUGGGGGCAACCUGACGCAGCCAUGCCGCGUGAAUGAAGAAUGCCUUCGGGUUGUAAAGUUCUUUCGGUAGCGAGGCGUUAACUACAGAAGAAGCACCGGCUAACUCCGUGCCAGCAGCCGCGGUAAUUC